UGUCAAUACAGGGAGUGCAGAAUUAUUAGGCAAAUGAGUAUUUUGACCACAUCAUCCUCUUUAUGCAUGUUGUCUUACUCCAAGCUGUAUAGGCUUGAAAGCCUACUACCAAUUAAGCAUAUUAGGUGAUGUGCAUCUCUGUAAUGAGAGGGGGUGUGGUCUAAUGACAUCAACACCCUAUAUCAGGUGUGCAUAAUUAUUAG